CAUAACUCCUGCUGUCCUCUUGUUUGCAUCAUCAAGUUUAUUUAGACAAGAGUGCGUCGCAGCCCUCACAUGCGACCCAACAGUAGAAAUUCAUUAUCUCAUUAGAAUUUCGUAAUCGAAACACGCGAGGAAUAAAGCGAAUUGCGAAGGAAAAUUUCAGUGCACAGUGCCAAGGAGUAAUUAGGAAGAAUAUGGAGUUAUGAGUAACACCUGAGUGAUCCUUUGUUUACAUUUUUUUGAGGAAACUUACAGAAUUUGUUCUUUGAUGAUUCAUAUUUCUGUGGAGAUUUAUUAGAAUGGAAAAUAAUUCUACCGAGAAUUUGGAUGUGGCUGGGGGCGGUGAUGCAGAAUCAAUCUCCAAGACUCCAACUAAUGGAAGUCCACAAAAAUUGAACGAGAAUUCAUCGCUCAAUCCGCUGACUAAUCAGACGUAUUUUGCUGAUGAGAGGAUACAAAUUCCGGAGAUUGAAACCGGUGGUUUCAGCUUCAGAAAAUUAUGGGCUUUCACAGGCCCUGGUUUUCUCAUGUCAAUAGCUUAUCUAGACCCUGGAAACAUAGAGUCUGAUCUGCAAUCUGGAGUUUCAGCGAAGUACAAGUUACUAUGGGUUUUACUAGGAGCCACAAUCCUCGGCCUAGUGAUGCAGAGGCUGAGUGCUCGUCUGGGGGUUGUAACAGGCCUUCAUCUAGCCGAAAUGUGCCACAGACAGUACAAAACAGUUCCCAGGAUAUUCCUGUGGCUAAUGAUUGAAAUCGCAAUCAUCGGGAGUGACAUGCAGGAGGUCAUUGGCACUGCCAUUGCACUUUACCUCUUAUCAGGGGGAUGGAUUCUACUCUGGGCAGGGGUUUUGAUCACCAUUGUCGACACUUUUACAUUUUUAUUCCUUGAUAAAUAUGGGUUGAGGAAGCUAGAGCUGUUCUUCGGACUUUUAAUUUCUAUUAUGGCUGUAACGUUCGGUUACGAGUACGUUGUUUCGGCUCCACCUCAACUGGAAGUUAUGAAGGGAAUGUUCACUCCAAUGUGUACAAACUGUGAUAGCGAUGCUCUCCUCAAGGCUGUUGCCAUCGUCGGUGCGGUCAUCAUGCCGCACAAUUUGUAUCUCCACAGUGCUCUCGUCAAGUCCCGGGACAUUGACAGGAGGCAGCCUAAGAAGGUCAAGGAAGCCAACAUGUAUUUCUUCGUUGAAGCGAUCAUUGCUCUCCUCGUUUCCUUCGUUAUCAACGUUUUUGUCGUGGCUGUGUUUGCUCACGGGCUUUAUGACAAGAAGAAUAGCGACGUUUAUGAAGUGUGUGAGGCAGCCGGAGACACCCUGGGAAUGGCCACAUUUAAGAAUGACUCAUCCGCGAUCGACGCUAAUUUAUAUAAAGGAGGAAUAUUCCUCGGGUGCCAAUUUGGAAUAGCAGCGAUGUACAUAUGGGCAGUUGGAAUUUUAGCUGCUGGACAAUCGUCCACGAUGACGGGGACGUACACUGGGCAAUUCGCUAUGGAGGGAUUCCUGAAUCUUCAGUGGGCACGAUGGAAGAGAGUCUUCUUCACUCGAACAAUUGCAAUAGUGCCAACAUUUUUCGUAGCCUUUUAUGCUAAUAUUGAGGAUCUUGGGGGUAUGAAUGAGGUCCUCAACGCCAUCAUGACCCUUCAGCUUCCCUUCGCCACACUUCCCACUCUUGCUUUUACCAGUAGCGAGCAGAUCAUGGGAAAAUUCAAGAACGGAAUAUUUAAUAAAGUGGUCGCUACGCUACUCUCGGCAGCAGUGAUAGCAAUUAACAUAUUCUUCGUAACCCAAACAGUGAAUGAAAAACUGCCCAAUCCAAGCUGGGCUGCCAUCUUCGGCAUAAUAGUGUACGCCGUAAUUUACCUCGGCUUCUGUUUAUAUUUUGUUAUUCACAUGGCUAUUGCCAUGGGGGCUGAAUGUCUAACGCGAAAUAGAUUUAUUGCUAAAUACGUUGGGGGUCCAACGGAAAUGAGUUUCGCCCUGACGAAUCCAGCGGUAUAUGCCAGUUUUCAUAACACCUCGGAGACAUCUCUGGACACUUAAAAAGCGAUUUUAAAAACGUCAGUCAUGGAUUACAAUGAGGAUAAUAACGAGAAUGAUGUGUUGGUUGCUUUGAUGAGCCUCUGUGAUGUGCGAGGUAUUCCUUGCAAUCGUGAGUUAACCCGGCGUUCUCAAUACAGGAAAACCUGAACGGUAGCUUCAACCCUCUCAGGCUGGACUGAUUCUCCCAUUUAGUAAAAAAUAGUGAUGAAGUGAUAACACAAAAUGACAGUCAGUCUUUAUUGAUGUCUCAAAAUGAAGGGGAAAAUAAUGUUUUUAUGGAGGCUUUCCUUGCAGAAAAUGUAAAAAAAAAAUAUCUCCAAAAAAAUUUCACUUCUCCCCUGAAUUCCCGGAUACUCUUAAAGAAGUCAACAGCUGUUCUUUCGUUUUAGCACUCCAUCACUCGAUGUUAUUGAAUGUUAAGAGAUUUUUUAAUCCAAAUAAAGCAUAAUAUAUUCUGUUA